rnacentral:lncRNA from 1 species
CCAAUUAGUUUCAUCUUAAUUAUUAUGAUGUUUUCCUAGUAUUAUGAACAAAACAUAUGUUGUUUUCAUGAAUCAAGACUUGGAAAGGCUUUCAUAAAUAUUUGGAUAAAUAUUUCUAAUGUUUGUGCAAUAUUCAUUAAUUUGCUUAUUUUCAUCUUGAAAUAAUUUUUUUACAAGAUACGUUAUUUAACCCAUGCGAAGCACGGGUUUGUAACUAGUUAGAUGCAAAAUCUAACCUAACUAUUGAGUGCCAAUAAUAAUUAAAAACAUUAUUAAUAAUAUUUCUUAUAUCUUUUUCUGGUGCAAGAAACCAUUCUUUUCCAUUUAGUAGGCCUCAUGACAUUGACACUUGUAGCUAAUACAUCUGCGAAUCAUACCAAACUCACACAUACUUUCUGGACAAUCAAAGUCGUUUUGACAGGAAAUUUUUUCUGUGAUUGCAAUAAGAAGAUAUUACUGUUAGUAAUUAAAAGGGAUAAAAUAUUGUGAAAGAUGUAAUGAAGAAAAGUUUAAAAGAAUUAAAAGAAUGGCAUACCAUAACCGUUUGUUGAAACAAUAAAUAAUGAGAGAAAAAGGAUCAUAACAUAAACAAACUUCAUAAUAAUUUUUUUUUUUAUUUGAUCACUUAAUAA